AUUGAACGCUGGCGGCAGGCCUAACACAUGCAAGUCGAACGAGUGGCGGACGGGUGAGUAAUGUCUGGGAAAAUGCCCGAUGGAGGGGGAUAACUACUGGAAACGGUAGCUAAUACCGCAUACCAUCGGAUGUGCCCAGAUGGGAUUAGCUAGUAGGUGGGGUAAUGGCUCACCUAGGGGACGAUCCCUAGCUGGUCUGAGAGGAUGACCAGCCACACGGGAACUGUGACACGGUCCAGACUCCUGCGGUAGGCAGCAGUGGGGAAUAUUGGACAAUGGGCGCAAGCCUGAUGCAGCCAUGCCGCGUGUAUGAAGAAGGCCUUCGGGUUGUAAAGUACUUUCAGCGAGGAGGCGUUACUCGCAGAAGAAGCACCGGCUAACUCCGUGCCAGCCGCCGCGGUAAUAC
rnacentral:rRNA from 1 species